rnacentral:lncRNA from 1 species
GGCAGCUGCAGUGUUCCCUUAAGUCACCUGAAAGAGCCAAAGAUGAAGCUAAUAAUCUUUGGGCAGUUUUCAUCAACUACAAAGCUUUCAUCUUGAAGGAAGUUAGAAACAGUGAAGACAACAGACAAAAAGGUAAUCACUUGCAAAGACAAAUGAUUUUUGAAAUUAACAACAUUCUGUGUUGAAGUGACCUCAGUCAAAAAGACGACUUUAUUAUAAACAGCAACAGUUACAUGUUUCGUGCUUUAACAGUGUUGUGGCUCCUGAAUUACUGGACUGAUGGUGGAGAGGAGACUCCUCUGGUGCCUGCCGUGGGUGAGAGUUUGUAGGAGCUGUGCCAACUGAUAAAAGAAGAACAUCUACAAGAUGAGAUUUUUUUUUUCAACAUACAAGUCCUGCCCAAGCAUUUCCUUCCAAAAACACAUUGCUAGUGUGUUGGAGCCAGGACAUGGGCAAGUCGUACAUGAUUUGUCUAAGAGUGAGACCAGGCUUAUCGUAUCCAAAUGCUGUUUUGUAACAUGAUUUUGCCAAAGAGUACAUUUGUGUUUGAUUUCAGCUUAUUUCCC